CCUACGGGUGGCAGCAGUGAGGAAUAUUGGUCAAUGGACGCAAGUCUGAACCAGCCAUGCCGCGUGCAGGACGACGGCUCUAUGCGUUGUAAACUUCUUUUGUCCAGGGAUAAAAUCAGUUACGUGUGUCUGUCUGAGGGUAUCUCAUGAAUAAGGAUCGGCUAACUCCGUGCCAGCAGCCGCGGUAAUACGGAGGAUUCGAGCGUUAUCCGGAUUUAUUGGGUUUAAAGGGUGCGUAGGCGGGCGUGUAAGUGAGCGGUGAAAUGCCGGGGCUCAACCUCGGCGGUGCGGUGGAGACUGGCUGGCUUGAGAGGACUGGAGGUAUGCGGAAUGCGUGGUGUAGCGGUGAAAUGCUUAGAUAUUACACAGAACACCGAUUGCGAAGGCAGCAUAC
rnacentral:rRNA from 1 species